GUUGCAGAAUGUUUAAGCUAGGGAAUUUGCACAUAUUUGCAUUUAUUGUUUUGGUUAUAUAUUGGGUUGUUGGAGGCAUCUUGGGUAUUCUUGACCCCGAAGAUGAUGAGUGAUGCCUCUGUUAUUUGGGAUGGGGAGCAUGGUUAUAUGUAUGUGGAAAGAUUCUGAGUGUAAAGCAUCUGUGUAAAGAAGGUAUUGGAGCACUCAGAGAAAUUAAUUCCUACCUGAAAGAAGGAUCGGUCAGAACAAGUAAUAUCUACCUGUUUAGUGGGUAGAGG